rnacentral:lncRNA from 1 species
UGAGGGACCCCAAAGCCAGGUCUGGAAAAGGGGGGUGGGUUGGGUGGUGGGGGUGCAGCCCCCAAAGAAAUGGGGGUCGAAAUGGAGGAAACCCCACUGAGAUGCUCAAAUGUAAAACCGCUGAAGAAUAAAGGGACAAAUGUACACAUCUGUCUAAAUGAAAAAAAUGAAAAUCCUGGCCGCAAAAACACAUACAUUAACGUCUAAAGACCUGCAGGGAAGACAAGACUUUUCCGCCUGGGACACAUGAAAGACAUCGAGCUAAUUUCCUUAAUAAAUGAAGAGCUCUUGGAAACCAACGAGAUAAAGACCAAACCAAGACAGAAAAAUGGGCAAAAGGGAUAAAACUGGCAAUUCGCAAGAAAAUCAAAACGGCUGGCCGACCUGCGAAGGAAACAUCACGAUCUAUUUGCAUAAAGAAAUGCAAACCUGAAACACCGGGCACGUGCGGUUUAGGGGAGCGGGCAGUCUCACACACUACUGAGUUGUUUCCCACCAGCCGUCAAUACAGACCUUCCACUGCGUAAGCCCACUGCAUUGCCAUUUAAUAAAACAGCAAGAAAAUGAGAGAGAAAAAUAAUGAGGUAGAAUUGUAUGGGAUUAUUAAGGAUUGAAUUCUCAGUAGAUUUAGUGAAAUAUACAAGUUACUGAAGUUUGUAGAAACGAACUGCUCCUUUUAUGUCAGGAGAGUCCAAAUCCAGUACCUGUUUGCCACAAUGAGCCUGGGACCUCAACAUGCAUGGAGUGCUUCCGGACCUCAUUACCCAAGAGCAGUCAGAUUCUUAAUUUCCUCUGCCUUUUUCAAGAUCAUUAGUUCAGAAGGUUUAUGUUUUCAAUUCCACAUAUCCUUGCAUUUUUCUUUCAAGUUUUGACCCAUAUGGAUAUCUUAAAUAUUCCUAUUAUUGCAAGUUUAUAUUAAAAGGAGGUUAAAUUGUGAACUCACAAACUCAUAGCAUCAUAGCACCAUCUCAAUCAAAAGUAUUAUCUUCUGUGAACUACAACAGUUUUCACUUCUUUCGCAAGUGUGGAGUGACGUUUGCCUGAGGCUGUAUGACCUGUGAUAUCGUGACAAAUUGAAGGCCAAAGCGAUGCGAAUCCAGCUGUUUUCUAUUAAGUCAAAUGCCAAGGAGAUUUACAAAGAUGUAAAACAAUGUGCCUCUUCUCAAUAACCUUUGAUUUUGAAAAUUAUUAUUUUUCAUAAAAAAUGUUGCUUCCAUUAACCUGUAAUAGGUUUAUUACCAUUAUUUUAAAUAAAAU